CCCUUAGAUGUUCUGGGCCGCACGUGCGCUACACUGACGGAGGCAGCGAGCGUGUCCUUCGCCGGCAGGUGCGGGCAAUCUUGCGAGUCUCCGUCGUGCUGGGGAUAGAUGGUUGCAAUUGUCGAUCUUGAACGAGGAAUUCCUAGUAAGCGCGAGUCAUCAGCUCGCGCUGAUUACGUCCCUGCCCUUUGUACACACCGCCCGUCGCUACUACAGAGUGCCCGUGUCCAAGAAACGGUCGGACCUGUGCGGCCUCUCCGGGCGACCGGAGGGCCGUUACGGGGAAGACCCUUUAUUUGACGCGGGUCGAUGAAGUAAAAGUCGUAACA
rnacentral:rRNA from 1 species